rnacentral:rRNA from 1 species
UGCCAGACUCCUACGGGAGGCAGCAGUGGGGAAUAUUGGGCAAUGGGCGCAAGCCUGACCCAGCAACGCCGCGUGGAGGAUGAAGGUUUUCGGAUUGUAAACUCCUUUUGUUAGAGAAGAUAAUGACGGUAUCUAACGAAUAAGCACCGGCUAACUACGUGCCAGCAGCCGCGGUAAUACGUAGGGGGCAAGCGUUAUCCGGAUUCACUGGGUGUAAAGGGAGCGUAGACGGCGACGCAAGUCUGGAGUGAAAGCCCGGGGCCCAACCCCGGGACUGCUCUGGAAACUGCGGCGCUGGAGUACGGGAGGGGCAGGCGGAAUUCCUGGUGUAGCGGUGAAAUGCGUAGAUAUCAGGAGGAACACCGGCGGCGAAGGCGGCCUGCUGGACCGUGACUGACGUUGAGGCUCGAGAGCGUGGGGAGCAAACAGGAUUAGAUACCCGCGUACUG